GUGGGGAAUAUUGGACAAUGGGGGGAACCCUGAUCCAGCCAUGCCGCGUGUGUGAAGAAGGCCUUUUGGUUGUAAAGCACUUUAAGCGAGGAGGAGGCUACCGAGAUUAAUACUCUUGGAUAGUGGACGUUACUCGCAGAAUAAGCACCGGCUAACUCUGUGCCAGCAGCCGCGGUAAUACAGAGGGUGCGAGCGUUAAUCGGAUUUACUGGGCGUAAAGCGUGCGUAGGCGGCUUUUUAAGUCGGAUGUGAAAUCCCUGAGCUUAACUUAGGAAUUGCAUUCGAUACUGGGAAGCUAGAGUAUGGGAGAGGAUGGUAGAAUUCCAGGUGUAGCGGUGAAAUGCGUAGAGAUCUGGAGGAAUACCGAUGGCGAAGGCAGCCAUCUGGCCUAAUACUGACGCUGAGGUACGAAAGCAUGGGGAGCAAACAGGAUUAGAUACCCUAGUAGUCC
rnacentral:rRNA from 1 species